GGUUGUGGAGAAGCGGGGCUGGUGAGCCGCCCAGCGGCGUCCCGCCCGCCUGCUCCCGCCCCGGCUGGGCCCCAGCACAGCCCCGGCAGCGCGGGGGGUCUCUGGUUCCGGUCCUGGCCCCGGCUGCUGGCAGGUGGUGGCCCCACAGCCUGCCCCGCUGCCCCCAUCUGCUCGCUAUCUGUGCGUUCAAGUCUUCCCUUAACUUUGUCCCUGCCCGCUUGUUCGAGCCCCCUCACUGCUGGCCCUCUCACCUCAGAGCCCCUCCAAAUCUAACACCCCAAACCACUGAAGGUCCCGAUGCGGUCCAGUUUCAGCCCAAAGCAGCCCCUGGGCAUGGCUUUCCAGGCCCAAUCUCCAGGCAAUGCCCACUUGCGACUGGCGAGGGUCUUGCGCCAGAGAGAAGAACGGGCAGCUCUAGCUCCAGAUGGGAGGAAGGGGAGGGUGGAGGAGACCAACUGAGGACCAAAGCUGGACCCCUCCUUUGUGUCCUCUUCGGCCAGUGUGGACUCGGGCUCCAGGGGCAGCAACCGUGAAAGGAGCAUCUGGGAUAAACAGAAGGAAGAGGGGGGUGAGAGCAGAGAUCCCUUUGCUCCUGGCUAUAAGCUUUGUACCCCCUUGUACUCCACUGCCCGCACCCUCCUUAGGGGUCAGGCAGGACCUAAAGUGAUGUCUGCACACAGCACUGUGCCUGUGACAUUGCAUCCAGACAGAGGGAAGGGCUAGAUCACCAGCUCUUGCUGUCUGAAAUGACUUUGCUGUUGAUAACAGCAGGCAGGCACCUGCUGUGAACCUCUGCCUGCAUGCAGAUUGCCCUGCUCUUGUCAAGCCAUACACCUCCCUCCCAGUCCUGGAUUUGGAAGGUAACAGGCUUCGGUCCUUGCUCCUCUUGUGGAUGCUGAGCAGCUCUGCGUGUUCAGGCUGCUGUGUGGCAUUUCAUUUUUUCCAGAGGGCUGGUGGGAAGGAUGGAAGGAUGGACCCGUCUCAAACUGCUGGUAAGAGGGAGAGGCAGGAGCACAGCAGGUGUGAGGAAGGGGGACUCCCCAUCUGCUGGGAAUCCUCUAGAUCAUCUUUGCUGAUUGUACACCCCCAGCACUGCUGGAAGCCUGCAGACAAGGGUUGAGGGGUGCAUUGGGCGCAAUAGAGGCACAGCUUGGCUGCCCUAGGAAGCAGCCUAUGGUAACCGUUCCACAUCUGUCUCUCACAUGGAUGCUGAGCUAAGGCUGAAGAUGCCUUUGUGCAGCUCUUUGCGAUAGCGAGUUAACUGAAGCGGACACAGGCAUCUUCAGUGAGGAGUGAAAGUGGUGAGUCAUACCAGGAUCAGUCUUGUGAUUUUAGUUCACGUCCUGACUACUUCCCUGGAGCUUUCCCAGGGUUAUGUGAAGGCAAGGUGUUGGGGCUCAGGUUAGGGUUUGGGUAAGAGGGAGCUGUGUAGAUUUGAAAGCCAAAAAUAUUAUUGCUGAAACUACUGAGGAUAAAAGAUUUACUCAAGUGAAGAAGCCUUUAGCUGGCAUCCUGACUGUGGCUCUUGGCCUUAGAGUGUCUACUGAGGGGCAAUACUGAGCUUAGGAGCAAAAAUCCUGGCCAAACAGGAUACAUCUUCUCUCUGAAAUGUCAGAAUCAGGCAUUGAACAUGAUGAGAGAUACACCCGUGAUUUCUGGUUGUUGCUGACACAGAGCAGGGUUAGAUGGGGCAGGCUCUUUACCGUUACAAUCCUCUGCAGAGCACUAAAAAGCUUUUGUGUGUUUCCCAUCUUGAAAUGCUGAUGCUCUUUAGGAGCUGGGUUAUAAAGUCACCCUAGAGCUGAGGCUGCUGGACUGAAGGGGAGGGAGCAGUGAGAAUAUACAGCAGCCUCCAGUAGUUGAAAUUUGGGACCACCACUCAUUUGAGGUUCAAACACAACUUCCCCAAAUUGUCACUCCACUUCUGAAACCUCCCUCAGCUCUCUCCCAGUCCCUCCUACCUGUAGCCUCUGUCCUGGUAAGGACACAGUCUGAACGCUGGCAGAGAGCAGAACCAAGAGGAGGAAAAACGAACAAGGCCAUGACUGGAGCUCCAGCAUCUUCUUCUUAUCCCAGGGCUUGUGGGAGGUGAGGCAGGACAUGCAGCAUCUGUGUCGAAUGCAGUCCCUUGCCCUUCUCUGCCUUUAUAGCUUUGAUUCUGGCCAGUGCCUGGCCCCCAGCUCCCGCCUGAUCCACCCCCUGGAGCUCCUUAACCUUUCAGCCCUUUUGUCCAGGGUGAUAUAUUUCAGGGUGAGCUCAGCAAGACCCCUUCCUCUAAAGAAAAAGGACACAAAGGUGUUUACUGAGUGUCUGGAAAGACUAAUGUCUUCAACUCAACUCACUCAAUGUGAGUUGAGCUGCUGCUGCCCAGGACCUGGAGGUAUCUGUCAGGGUCAGGAACGGGGUGACACUUUGAAACAUGUACCAAAGGAGGAUAUUGAAGGCUGCAUUGUGUAACGGUAUUGAACAUACUCCUUGUAGGCAGAGUGCUGUUACUGCUGUUUCUCUAAUCAGCAUGAGCAUGAACUACAGCUCAGCUAGCAGUGGGCACACUGCUGGCUGCACAGAGCAGACACAGAUUCAGCUCUGUGACAAUACAGGCAUUUGGUUUUAGUAUUUAUAUUUUGGUGAGACGGUUGGCCUCGGAAUGAAGAGCUCCUGCUGCAGAAGGUGGGUGAAUUCCGGUACCAUAUGGAAUUUGUAGCAGUGACAAGCAGUGACUACAACCCUAGGUCUAGUACUAGUGGGUAUAUAAUAUGCAGGCUGGUUGUCCCAAGUCACCAUCUGGAGGACUGGAGUGAGUUUCCAGAGGAACCGUCACAGAAAAGACCUUGUCGAGGCUCAGCUUGCACUUUCUCAAGCUCAGGCACACAAUGGAAGCAGGACGGCAAGGAGCAGAUUCCUACCUCCUAAAUCUUCUGGCCAUUAGUUCCCCCCCUUUGUUUACCUCUCCCAUUUUAUUGUAGUUUCUCACCAGUUGAACAAGGCAAUGAGGUCACUGUUUGGAGAUUAGGGUGCAGAAGUCAGCCUGUGUGUGAAGACAGAAACUAAUCAGGAAGGUUUGUCAGGGGAGAGGGAUGGGGGGACUGUACCCCAGUACAGGAUUAGUAAUGGUUGUACUGGGUGAGUUUAAAACCACCUUAAACUUCCCUUUCUUCAGUACUGUUGCACAAAGCAGUUGGGUCAAAACUUGACAGGAAGUGUUGUGCUGCCUGCUUUUAUUUUUUACAAGGAAAGAAGAAAAUUAGAAAAAAAAAAAAAAGGUCUUUUUUUUUUUUCAAGGAAAUAAGAGAAGUAGAAAAAAAAAGUCUUUUGCAGAGACAACAAAAGUCACAGUUCGGAUAUUUGCUCUUCCUCCCUCCCUCUGUUCCUUCCUUCUGCACUUGCAGAUGCUGAUUUGUGGGUCCCUUUCUUUGCUGCCCAAGGAGCUAGAAAGUUUUAUGAACUGUUUUGCAACCAGUCCAUGAGAAGUGAGUAGGGGGCAUCACUCUGGAGCAUUGAUGCUGGAAGAAGGAGACACUUUGAAUAGGUGGGGAUAUCCAAUUUUGUUAGCUCUAGCUGAUAUCUGUGACCCAUGUCUGGUGCUGGUUCCAGAGCAAUGCACUGCUCUUGUGAUCCUGUCCCCUGUCACCCCCUCGCCUGGCCCAGCACUUGGAGGGGCUCCCUAGGUCCCUGCUAAUGUCCUUCACUGAGACCUUUCGUGGGGAACAGGAUUACUUUUAUACCAGCCUUUUACCUUCAUACCAGCCUUUUAAUCUACAAAGCACAGGUGACUGCUGGAGAGCCAUGGGAUGUGCUGUCCACGUGGGCAUUCAGACGGGGCGCCUGGGCACAAACAGAGUGUGGGAUGUGUGUACAGCCAUGUGCUGGGUGCAGUAGGGUAUGGAGCAUUGUGGUGUGAAAGAUUCAGAGGGGUGGAAAAGAAAGGAAGGAGGACAGGAAGUGAGCACGUGUUCAUUCCACAUGCAAGAUGUCCCAGAGGAUGCUGUUCUGUAUUUCCCAGUCACAUCUGACCAUCCAGGAGCUGAGUCAGCCUGCCAGAGCACUCAUGCUGCCGGCAAGAGAGCUGCAGGCAGGUGCAUCUCGGGUUGAACGCACUGGUUGCAGGAGUCAGGUCUUUCCUGAGUGAAAGGUAAGUACCAAAGCAACAACACUUUGUUUCUGAUACGAAAUGUAGCAGCAGCAUGACCUGGCAUCCUCUGAAUGUGGUGGCCCCCGUACUGCAAGAAUGCCAGAAAUGUGUUUGCAACUGCUCCAAAAUUCCAGUCCACUUGCACAAACACUGAGCCCUGCAGGGGUGGACAGGCUCGGAGAUCUCAAGUGACAAGUCCCCUCCUUAGGUCCAGCAAAAGCUGGCACUGGCAAGGGGGAAGGAGCCAUCACUGUCUCCUGCUAAACAAGAAACUUCAGAGACUGCAGAAAAUUUGCAAAUUUUCUUGCAGAUUCUUGUAAAUUCUUGCAAAUCCAGCAAAAAUUGGAUAAAAUGGUGCUCAAUUGCUCAGGUGCCAUGAUGUUGCAGCUGCUCUGUGUCCCAGAUCCUUGCUGGGACUGCAGUAGCACUGAAUAGUUGGUCUGACAUGUCCUGGCAGCGACUGUGAAGUGAAAAGGCUUUGGCAGACGAGUCCCCAGUUGCCCCAGUUUUCUCAGACUCAAAUAGGUUAUUGUCCUUUUUCCUCUCUGAUGCUAACAAGUUUCCUCUAUAAAAACCCUUCCCCCUCUGAUGCUAGGGCACUGAUCUGAGAGCUUGCAAGACCACCAGAAAAGUGGUCUCCUGCUAAAUCACAAUCAGUGUUUUACAAACAGUUGCUUGUAUAGGAAAGGAGCAGAGCAAGUGGAGAGUGGGAGGACCGGGAACUGAGUGAAGUACCCUGAGGGAACGCCCCUUGGCCCAUGGUGAUGGAAAGGGAUAAUGGUUGCUGCAGGCUCUAGAAGGAAGAGCAAUGCUCACAUUAUUCCACUGGUAUCAUUUGUAGGAAGUUCAGAGCAGCCAUGGUCAGGAGGCCCUCAGAGAAUGGAAACACCACUGAUCUUGGCAGUGAGUAAUCCCAAUGCCUCAGAAGCAAGGGAGUGACAUUAGUACUUCAGUAGCAAUUCCUGGUCAUUUUGGCAGCCACCAAAAUAUCUGCUUGUGAGGAACAGAAGGGCAGCAACCAUCUACUUUAAGCAGUAGCCACUGUGUAGUUGUCCAAAUCCCUUUUGGGUUUUGCCUCAUCUUUCUGCAGGACUUCUUGAUCCAUGACACAGGACUGCUAAUUUUUCCAAUGUCAGGAGAUGACAGUGAGGAGAGGGGUUGCUCCACCUGAAGAAGUUGCAGAAAGGGACCAACUGGAGCUCUCACUCACUGACUUUCCACUCUCACUUGUCCAGGCAGCGCAGUGUCAGGACAGAGCAAAAGACAGGGUGCAAAGCAGGGAAGGAGCCACCAUGUCACUCAUUUAGUGAUUGCCAAACCCUCCUCCAUCUCUCCCGAAGAAGUUUUGUACUGAAAAAGCAUGGCCUGAAGGUGAGCCAGUGCAUAAGAGUUUUAUGGCCACCUUGCUUCCUCUAUCCACCCAUUCAUAUUUCCCCUACUGCAGUAUUGUCAACAUUAUCUCACUUAUUGCACAGGCUUGUAAAACCUCGAGCCUGAGCAGACACCCAUACAUGCUGCCCUUUUCUUUUUUCAUUCCCAUAUGUGAGUGACAAACCCCGUGGGUGGUGGGGGAAUCACGUACUGUGUGCAUGACUGUGUCAUAUUUACUGCUGCUGCCUCUCUCUCCUGUAGCCUUCACUGAAUAUUUUACCAGCGAGGAAGGGAGAGAGAGAGGGGCAAUAUUGCUGUAGCUUUCUGAUCUUUGUAUUUCACGUGAUUGUCCUGUAGCUACUGGCAUGCUCUGGAUUUGGAGUGUAUCCGUACUGGUGUCUGGCUCUUAUGCCAGUGGUGGCAAGUGUGCAGGUAUUCUCACUGUGCCAUGGGACUCAGGUGUGGUGUUUGGUCCACAUUGCCCACUCCAGUAGAUACACCUGUCACCCCAUCACUACCCCCCAUUCUACUUGCUUCUACACCCAUUUAACAUGUUUAUGUCCAUUCAAGUAUUGGCAUGAAAAACCAUAGGCCCGGGUCCGUGCAAAGCUAUGCAAUUACUAAUGACUUUUCUUUUUUUUUUAAAUAGGGAUCAAAUUAAGCUACAGCAAUCCUUUAUUGCUAGUUAUGCAGCCAGGCCAGAGGGGAACUGAGCAGCGUGCUCUACUUCCUGGGUGAAGUAAGGGUAACCCCAAUGACUGUGGGAACUUGGUAGAUCCUCAGAGACAGAGAUUGCAGAAGAUCUGCAGGAAGCUGCAGAGAGGAGGAGGACCCUUCCUGUCCCUGCCCAGCUAGUGACUAGUCUGCUUUGUAGGCAGCUGACAGGGCAGUUCAAGCAGUGCCAGGACUGACUUGAACACUGAUGUGGCAUUCCUGGAAGAAAGAGGCCCCCAAUCUCUCAACUCUUCUUUGAUGAAAUCUGUCCAAGAAAAAGAUGCAGGUAACUUCCCCUCAGAGCCCUGCUGAGCUUUACAAGGCAAGAGCUCCUAAAAAGAUCAAACAUAAAAAUGCCUAAUCCCAGCAAAAUCGUAUUGGUCCUGUGUUGAAAGAGGCUGAAUAGUGUAUUAUAAGCAUGUACAAAAUGAGAAAAGAAUGAGAAGUAGUUUGGCUCUUCUUAGAAAGAGUUUCUUUCAAAGAUUUAUUUUCUUUUUUUUUUUUAAUAAAAGCAGCUUACUCUUAUCUGCAAAGCCAGGGCAAAAU